rnacentral:tRNA from 1 species
UGGGGUGUGGCUCAGAGGAAGAGCGUGCACCUAGCAUAUACAAGGCCCUGGGUUCGAUUCUCAGCACCAUGU